rnacentral:rRNA from 1 species
AUUGAACGCUAGCGGGAUGCCUUACACAUGCAAGUCGAACGGAGCGGCGAACGGGUGAGUAAUGUAUCGGAACGUGCCCAGUAGCGGGGGAUAACUACGCGAAAGCGUAGCUAAUACCGCAUACUAUCGGAUCGGCCUAUAUCGGAUUAGCUAGUUGGUGGGGUAACGGCCUCCCAAGGCGACGAUCCGUAGCUGGUUUGAGAGGACGACCAGCCACACUGGGACUGAGACACGGCCCAGACUCCUACGGGAGGCAGAAGUGGGGAAUUUUGGACAAUGGGGGAAACCCUGAUCCAGCCAUCCCGCGUGUGCGAUGAAGGCCUUCGGGUUGUAAAGCACUUUCGGCAGGGAGGCGGUACCUGCAGAAUAAGCACCGGCUAACUACGUGCCAGCAGCCGCGGUAAUUC